GGAUGUGAGAGCGAUCUGGCUGCGACAUCUGUCACCCCAUUGAUCGCCAGGGUUGAUUCGGCUGAUCUGGCUGGCUAGGCGGGUGUCCCCCUCCUCCCUCACCGAUCCAUGUGUGUCCCUCCCGAAGCUGCGCGCUCGGUCGAAGAGGACGACCUUCCCCCCCGAGGAGAGGACCGGUCUUCGGUCAAGGGUAUACGAGUAGCUGCGCUCCCCUGCUAGAACCUCCAAACAAGCUCUCAAGAAUAUUAUUUGUAAUGGCUGUCAAAUGUCAUGAGCAUUGAAUGCUUUUGAUUUAGCCAAGUUGCCCUCCUAUUU
ensembl:misc_RNA 7SK 7SK RNA